rnacentral:lncRNA from 1 species
AUAGUUACAGGGUGGCUUGGUAGCUAUAUUAGGAACCCCAAUUAAGAGACCAAUUAUCAGAAAAGAGACUCCUAUCUUUCCUCCUUACAAUCACACAUUUAACCUCAAGCUGCAAAAUUUUUUUUGGGUCUUGGCAUCAGAUCGCUGCUACACCUGCAGAACAACAGCUAUUAGGUUUAGAGCAGUAGUUCAUCACUCAAACGACAAUACAGCCUAUAAUUAUUUCCAUUCUAAUAUAUCUUGCUUAAUAUAUUAAGGUGCAUUCAUGUUCCAUGUGCUGUUGGAAGGGGUUUGAUCAUUUUUCACUCAGCAUUAUUCCUAACACACAGGCAAUACUUGCAGACAUACAUGGUGUGAACAUGCCUUUGUUUCCAGAAUAUUGUGGAGACGUUGAUGUGCAUAUAUUUGUAAAUAUACAUAUUUGUGGACACACAUUCGUCCUUAGAGGCAGACAUAUGCCAAUGUUACAUACACUGUAUCUGCACAUGCAUUUCGCUGAAUUUGUACUUUCAAUCUGUCCAUACUCAUGCAUACAAUGGACGUGUGCAUGAAAGCAUUGCACUAGUUUAGUGAACACAAUGGAUGCAUGCAUGAAAGCAAUAUAUCAGUGCAUGUGCUGAGCACAUGCCUUGUGGUUUCUAUUAGAGAAGGAACAUCUAGUAGUUGGCUCUGAACCCACCAAUCAUGGAUGUGUAUGUAAAUGCGUCAGCCAAUAUUCAUGAAUAUGUUAAUGCAUCAAUCGACCU